rnacentral:rRNA from 1 species
GACGAACGCUGGCGGCGUGCUUAACACGUGCAAGUCGAACGGAAAGGCCCUGCUUUUGUGGGGUGCUCGAGUGGCGAACGGGUGAGUAACACGUGAGUAACCUGCCCUUGACUUUGGGAUAACUUCAGGAAACUGGGGCUAAUACCGGAUAGGAGCUCCUGCUGCAUGGUGGGGGUUGGAAAGUUUCGGCGGUUGGGGAUGGACUCGCGGCUUAUCAGCUUGUUGGUGGGGUAGUGGCUUACCAAGGCUUUGACGGGUAGCCGGCCUGAGAGGGUGACCGGCCACAUUGGGACUGAGAUACGGCCCAGACUCCUACGGGAGGCAGCAGUGGGGAAUAUUGCACAAUGCGCGGAAGCCUGAUGCAGCAACGCCGCGUGCGGGAUGACGGCCUUCGGGUUGUAAACCGCUUUCGCCUGUGACGAAGCGUGAGUGACGGUAAUGGGUAAAGAAGCACCGGCUAACUACGUG